GACGAACGCUGGCGGCGUGCCUAAUACAUGCAAGUAGAACGCUGAAGGCGGAUCUUGCUUCUCUGGAUGAGUUGCGAACGGGUGAGUAACGCGUAGGUAACCUGCCUGGUAGCGGGGGAUAACUAUUGGAAACGAUAGCUAAUACCGCAUAAGAGUAGAUGUUGCAUGAUAUUUGCUUAAAAGGUUCAAUUGCAUCACUACUAGAUGGCCCUGCGUUGUAUUAGCUAGUUGGUGGGGUAACGGCUCACCAAGGCGACGAUGCAUAGCCGACCUGAGAGGCGACUCGGCAACGCUGGGACUGGGACACGGCCAAGAAUACUACGAGUGGGAGAAGUAGGGAAUCUUCAGGAAUGGAAGGAAGGCUGAACGAGCAACGCCGCGUGAGUGAAGAAGGUUGUCAGAUCGUAAAGCUCAGUUGUAAGAGAAGAACGAGAGGGAGAGUGGAAAGAUCGGACUGUGACGGUAUCGUACCAGAAAGGGACGGCUAACUACGUG
rnacentral:rRNA from 1 species